UGGUAAAAGCUCCGGCUACAAAUCCACCCGCCAAAGGUAUAGUGAAUUUUGAAAUCAAUAGUUCAGUCUAAAUCUGAACCAAGCCUUUCCAUUUUCUAGAUCUAGAAGUAUAUACUGUCAAUAUCGGCCAGAUCCCCUCAGCGCUAGCGUCAUGGACUACCGAAGCAAUCAACAGUGGAUCCUUCUGCCGCAUAGAUCCUGACAUGGAAACAUGGCUGAUCCCUAAACAGAAGCUACUAGACAUAGCAGAAAGCAAGAGCUCAUGGCUCGACAUGGUACUAUAUUUUUUUGUAACCUUCACUUAUGCCGGUUUUAUCUUUUUCAAUUGGGAAAUUUUUCAUUUUAAAAUAUUUUUGCCUCAUCUUGAACUAACCUAAUUAGAAGGGGGAUUCAUGGCAUUCAUCAAUGUAGAAUCCAGAUCAAGACAGAGAACCAGAAGAUGCUAAAAAGUGUGUGUGUCUAUUAGUUGAAGGAAAUUGAUUUGAUUCCCCAUUUUGGAACUAAUCUAUUCUCUGACUGGAACAUAUGUAUAAGGAAGCUGAGGACCAUAAACAAAUGAUGCUUAGUCAAAUGUUGUGUUCCCAAGCCUGAGAGAGAAGUAAGUCCCAUCUAAAUGCUUGGAGUUCAUCUAUUUUUUUCUUCCUUUGUUUCUUUUGGGUCUGAAUUGUAGUUUUAUCCGUGGAAUAUUGUAACUGGUUCUAAGGCUAGCGUGGAUGCAUAGGUUCUUGGGAAUGAAGAAGCUUAUUUUUUUGCACCAGAGAGCUUUGGUUGUUGUUGUUACCAUUUCAAACCAGUUUAUUUAUUUGUAGAUGUUGUAGGCCACAUACAGUCUGUCCAAGGCUCGGCUCUCAACAACGUCACCGCAACUACUCGAGUUGUAGUCCAUUUUCUCAUUUCCCCGUAAGCCCUCAUCAAACAUUUUGUUGCUUUGAUUUUCACUUAUUCGGUCAAAUUUUAAAAAUAAAUUGAACACACUCCUUCAACAGAACUGUGGUGGUGUACUUUUAGGAGUUCAGUAUUAUACCUAGCUCAUGGUUCCGAACUUGCUGUGAUUCUGGUCAUAGAUGCAACUAUUGGUGCUUUUGAAGCGGGCUUAGAUAAUUUGAAAGGGCAGACAAGGAGCAUACACGGGUUCUUAUAGCUUUUGGUGUGGAGCAAAUCAUAGUCACAGUCAACAAAAUAGAUAUUGAUGCGUAUUUAACGGCCAUAUUUGAUUUGAUUAAGCUAGCAUUAGUUGGUAAUCAAGCCUAUAAGACGCAGUCAAAGCUUGGAGAAGCAGAGAGCAAAGCUGAGAAUUUAAAGAAUUAAGCUCAGGAAUCACAAAACCAUUGUGUUGGGGUCCAAAAAGUAAAGAGUUUCAAGAAGAGAGUAAUAAUGACCAUAAUGGUGUAAGAAGACACUAUUAUAUGGAGUUCUUUUCUUUGUGCUUGCAGGAAAAGUUGAGGUUGCUCAGCAAGCAGUAAAAUGUUUGAUGAACCUGGAUCCAGAUGACACUUGUGGUUAUGUGCUCAUGUCUAAUACUUAUUCUUCUUUUGGGUUGUUAGAAGAGGCGGUUGGACAGAGGGUUUUGAUGAAGGAAAGGCAAAUGGAGAAGGAAAUAGUGUGCAGUUCAAUGGAAACGAAGUUCACGACUUUGUUUCUUGCGGUGAAAGUCACCCUGAAUCCCCAGAGAUUUACAGUUUACCCGGUGUGUUAACUGGGAAGCCUCUGCUCUAAAAUCAGAAGGUACUUCUCAGUUUAGUGACCAUCUUGGUUAUUUAAAAGGCACCAUAUGAUCUGAUGCCAUCGCAUAAGAAUCAAAACAACAAAUUCAGUGACAAAGUAUAAUCUGAAUUUUGAGCUGGUGGACGAAGAGGAUUGCUGUUACUUCCAAGCAACCAAAAAACACGUUGUACAAGCUCGAGGUGGAGACAUCUUUGAUGUUUACAGAAAGAAAAGAGUCAACCAGAAAAUUUUGAAACUUUGUAGAGCGUUUUUCUCAUGACUUUUUUUCUGUAUGCAAUUGUUGGAGACUUGGAGUUUAUAAGAAAAAUAAUGUUUGUUCAACGACAAGUACUGUUGUUUGGUUUGUCUGGAUUCAUCAUUCAUGUAAUUAUUAUUAUUUCUUCUUUUAUGUGUUUCCUCUUAUAAAUGUACUUGAAUUUCUCUUAUGCUAGAAAUCUACAACUAGAAUGGGUUUCACUUGGCUAACAAAGAAAUUAUCAGUCUUAUAGUUUUGGGAUGUAUUCAAAGGUUGUCUUUAGGAAAUGACAAUUCAGUAAUAGUAAUUACAUACAAGAUUCCCCCUCUUCUAAACAUAGCAAAUAAACAUAUUCUGCAGAAUUAUAUACGACCUUCUUUUGAUAGUUUGUGGUUUAUCUACCAAAGUUUCACAUAUUUUUCUUGAUAGCUUGGCAUAAGUACAUGGCAGAUAACCUUCAGCUUAUUCAGCCUAUAUAAGGUUUUUCUAGCUACUAUUCAGCAAAAAAAAAGUAGUUUUUAAUUCUAGGUAGUUAGAAAACGGAAUAAGAAAAUAUACUAUGAUGUUAAUGUAAUAGGCGUAUUGACCUUUUUGGCAUUUUCUCAUGAAAUUACCCAAUAACAAAUAUAAGAAAUGGCCAGUGUGUAUGAUUCUUGACAUGUUUAAGUUGUCAGAAAUUACUUUAACCAGUAACAUUCACUUGGGAGUUGGAUCAAGGAUAAAAACACAAUAAUCAAAGAAUAUAGAAAUCUGCUUAAGCUCUCAACAACAACUUCUGUUUUUGUAAGUUUCUUCUGACUACUAUUGCAAGUACAAAACUACAUAUAUAUUUUUGGAUAAAAUGUAUAGCUACAUAUGAAAAUUAGUUUCAGUUAUUUUACCAUGGUAAUGGUUCACUCUACUUACACAAAAUCUAAAGUUUAAUAUUUGACAUUGAACUCAUGAACUUGAAUAACUCAUAAUUUAUUACAAUUUAAUAUUUUAUUAAUGUAGAUAUUUUAAUAAGUUCAUUAUUUGGAACAUUCAAGCAUAUUUUAAAAUGUAUUUUAGCUAUGCUAUAUUAGAUAGAGUCUCCACGUAGGUGAAAAUAAUCGGCCAAUGAGAAACUAUAUUUUUGCCAUGUCACCUACUCUAUUUGUUUUUACAAAAUGAUCCUUUAACUUUUUACUUAAACAAUUAUAACCGAAAAUAUUUUUUAGUGAAAUAUAUUAUUUAUAUAAAUAUAAUUAUAUUUUUUUAUUUACAUAAUAGUUUGUAAAGAAAUAUUUAGUGUAAAUAAUAUCAUAAUUUUAUAAAAUACUAAAAUAAAUUGGGCUGGUUUUCAACUUUCAGAAAUAAAAAAUAUUAUUUGUAAACUUAAAAAAGAAUAUAUCAAGAAUAUUCUUUUUCAGGAGAGAAAAUAGGAAAAUGUAUCGGAGACAAUCCAUCUCUAUUAUGAAAUUCCUCUAUUUUAGAGAAAACAAUAGAGGAAUACAUUGGAGAUGGUCUAAAGCAUGGCCGACGUAAAUGAUCGACAUUGAGAUUUCAGCUUUUCUGAUUCUUAUGAAUGUUUCAAUAUGAUUUGAAUAUUUUCUUUGUUUUAUAAUAUAAUGGUUUAAAAGUAUUUUUUGUUUCACUAAAUAAAUUGUUUUUAUAUUUCAAUGUAACUUUAUAUUUAUUGGAUAUUGUGUGGCCAAUUAAAUUAUGUAAAUUACUGUGUAAUUGAUUAAAUUUAUAUAUUAAAUGAUAGUUUUCUAAAGUAAUAACUUUUAAAUAUUACAGAUUUUAAUUAAAACUGAUUACAUUUUGAAACAUAUAGAGUAAUCUAUAAACUAACUCUAUAUAGAUAUGAGGACAAAAUUGUAAAGUGGUAUCACCUUGAAUUUCUCUCAUUCUGUGCAUUCCUAAUUGGAAGAAGAUAAUCAACAUCUAAUAUUAUGUUACUCUCAGUAUAUUAGAAAUGGUCGAACCAUAAACCAAUUAAGGAUAAUGUAAGGAAGACAUAAAGAUGUAUUUCCAGUUAUCACAAAUAUAGAAUCAAUUGAUAACAACUUAAUUAUGUCCAGCGUAGGACAACAGAGAAGAGUUUACAUACCUUCUAAUAUUAUAAUAUCUCACUAUAUUAGUGGCUAAAUCAGUUUUCUCUAGCACAAAUAUUCACUACAUUGUUGGAGUUUAAGCUUUUCUAUCUCAUGAUAUUAGUAGUUUGAUCCAAAAAAACAAGAAACAGUCAAACUGUACAUUGUAAUUAGAGAAAGAAAACAAACAAAAAUCAACCGAAGACUUUUAAGGUAUAUGAAACAAAAAUUAAAAAUAGCAAUUCUCUGCAAUUAAAGAAUAAGGCAAUAAAAUUGUAAAAAUACAAAAUAAAACAAAAAAUAUACACAGAAAGAAAGAUUUAGUAAAAUAAAAUCAUAAUAUAAUUUUCAUAACUGAAAGUGUUCAGUUACACUAAAAAGUCUAGAUUUACAACA